UAACACGUGGGCAAUCUGCCCUGCACUUCGGGAUAAGCCUGGGAAACUGGGUCUAAUACCGGAUAGGACCUUUAGACGCAUGUCUUUUGGUGGAAAGCUUUUGCGGUGUGGGAUGGGCCCGCGGCCUAUCAGCUUGUUGGUGGGGUGAUGGCCUACCAAGGCGACGACGGGUAGCCGGCCUGAGAGGGUGUCCGGCCACACUGGGACUGAGAUACGGCCCAGACUCCUACGGGAGGCAGCAGUGGGGAAUAUUGCACAAUGGGCGCAAGCCUGAUGCAGCGACGCCGCGUGGGGGAUGACGGCCUUCGGGUUGUAAACCUCUUUCACCAUCGACGAAGGUUCGGGUUUUCUCGGAUUGACGGUAGGUGGAGAAGAAGCACCGGCCAACUACGUGCCAGCAGCCGCGGUAAUACGUAGGGUGCGAGCGUUGUCCGGAAUUACUGGGCGUAAAGAGCUCGUAGGUGGUUUGUCGCGUUGUUCGUGAAAUCUCACGGCUUAACUGUGAGCGUGCGGGCGAUACGGGCAGACUAGAGUACUGCAGGGGAGACUGGAAUUCCUGGUGUAGCGGUGGAAUGCGCAGAUAUCAGGAGGAACACCGGUGGCGAAGGCGGGUCUCUGGGCAGUAACUGACGCUGAGGAGCGAAAGCGUGGGGAGCGAACAGGAUUAGAUACCCUGGUAGUCCACGCCGUAAACGGUGGGUACUAGGUGUGGGUUUCCUUCCUUGGGAUCCGUGCCGUAGCUAACGCAUUAAGUACCCCGCCUGGGGAGUACGGCCGCAAGGCUAAAACUCAAAGGAAUUGACGGGGGCCCGCACAA
rnacentral:rRNA from 1 species